GUGAGGAAUAUUGGUCAAUGGGCGGGAGCCUGAACCAGCCAAGUCGCGUGAAGGAAGAAGGAUCUAUGGUUCGUAAACUUCUUUUGCAGGGGAAUAAAGUGCAGGACGUGUCCUGUUUUGUAUGUACCCUGAGAAUAAGGAUCGGCUAACUCCGUGCCAGCAGCCGCGGUAAUACGGAGGAUCCGAGCGUUAUCCGGAUUUAUUGGGUUUAAAGGGUGCGUAGGUGGUUUGAUAAGUCAGCGGUGAAAGUUUGCAGCUUAACUGUAAAAAUGCCGUUGAAACGGUCGGAGUUGAGUGUAAAUGAGGUAGGCGGAAUGCGUGGUGUAGCGGUGAAAUGCAUAGAUAUCACGCAGAACUCCGAUUGCGAAGGCAGCUUACUAAGCUACAACUGACACUGAAGCACGAAAGCGUGGGGAUCAAACAGGAUUAGAUACCCUGGUAGUCC
rnacentral:rRNA from 1 species